UACGGAGGGAGCGAGCGUUGUCCGAAGUUACUGGGCGUAAAGCGCGCGUAGGCGGGAAAUUAAGUGAGAAGUGAAAGGCUGGGGCUUAACCCCAUGCAGUGCUCCUCAUACUGGUUUUCUUGAGGGUGGUAGAGAGAAGUGGAAUGGCUGGUGUAGCGGUGAAAUGCGUAGAUAUCAGUCGGAACACCAGUGGCGAAGGCGGCUUCUUGGGCCGAUUACUGACGGCUGAGGCGCGGAAAGCCAGGGGAGCGAACGGG
rnacentral:rRNA from 1 species